GUCUCGAUAGCUCAGUGGUAGAGCAUGCGAUUGCAGUAAUAAGAUAUCGCAGGGUCAGGUGUUCGAACCACCUUCGGGACU